CUUCGACCUCUGCCGCCGCUGCUGCCGCCGCCGCCUCCGGAGAGAGGAAGCAGGAGAGGAGCCCACAUCGCCUGUCACCUAUAUCCACGCCGCGCCGCCAGGAAGAAAGAUGUUCGCCUGCGCCAAGCUCGCCCGCACCCCUGCUCUGAUCCGAGCUGGAUCCAGAGUUGCAUAUAGACCAAUUUCUGCAUCAGUAUUAUCUCGACCAGAGACUAGGACUGGAGAGGUGAGUAGUAAUAACAGAAACUGGGAAACACUGCCAAGUAAGUCUUACAGUGUUACCAUGAAGGGGUGUGUUGGUGGAUAGCCCCGGGGUAAUUUCUUUCCAGUUCUAUUAAAUGAUAUGUAGAAGGUGAGCCACUGAGAGACCUUUGGUGGCCAGCACAACCUCCUGAAUUAGAAAAUACAUAUUUUAGGCUGUAUUUAUAGUUUUGAGUUAUAUGUAACCAAGUCAUACCAAGCUUCAAUACAAAGAAGUUACCGUUUUGGCACUAUAGUAGUUAAAAUCAGUGUGAUUACUGAAUUGACCUUUGCCUCAUUUCCUCUUCCCAGGGCUCUACGGUAUUUAAUGGGGCCCAGAAUGGUGUGUGCCAGCUGAUCCGAAGGGAGUUCCAGACCAGUGUAAUCAGCAGAGAUAUUGAUACUGCUGCCAAAUUCAUUGGUGCAGGUGCUGCCACAGUAGGAGUUGCUGGUUCUGGUGCUGGUAUUGGAACAGUCUUUGGCAGUCUUAUCAUUGGCUAUGCCAGGUAAUCAGUCUGUCCCAGAAUGAGGUAAAGACAGUGGGAAGCACCGAGUGGAAGUGGGAAAGUGGCCUCUUUGAAAGAAGUGUCUGCUGUGUGUGCAUUAGUCACUUAGAGUAAUG
rnacentral:lncRNA from 1 species